CCUACGGGUGGCAGCAGUGGGGAAUAUUGGGCAAUGGAGGCAACUCUGACCCAGCAACGCCGCGUGAAUGAUGAAGGUCUUCGGAUUGUAAAGUUCUGUGAUGGGGGAUGAACACAAUGACGGUACCACAAUAGCAAGCCACGGCUAACUACGUGCCAGCAGCGGCGGUAAUACGGAGGUGGCAAGCGUUAUCCGGAAGGACUGGGGGGAAGGGGUGCGUAGGUGGUUUAGUAAGUUGGCGGUGUAAUUCCGGGGCUCAACCUCGGCGCUACCGCCAAAACUAUUAGACUAGAGUGCAGGAGGGGUAAGUGGAAUUCCUAGUGUAGCGGUGGAAUGCGUAGAUAUUAGGAGGAACAUCAGGGGCGAAGGCGACUUACUGGACUGUAACUGACACUGAGGCACGAAAGCGUGGGGAGCAAACAGGAUUAGAUACCCGGGUAGUC
rnacentral:rRNA from 1 species